rnacentral:tmRNA from 1 species
GGGGGUGACAGGUUUCGACAACGAAUGUCGAGACGGGAGAAGCGAGCCGAGAAACCACUGUGAUCUCGUAAACCUUCGGUGGAAAACUAUAGGUGCCAAACAAAACAAGGGCACCGUCGCUCUCGCUGCCUAACAGCGAAAAGUGACGCGUUCGGCGGGAAUUGUCCCCGCACCGUCGGGCGUCGUGAGGGGACUCACCAAAGGCCCGGGCCACCCGGGUCGGCGGAACAUUUUUAGUGGCUGAGACCGCGUUCUCUGCGGAGUCGUAAGAAGCAGAGAGGUCGAGAACGCGCUACGCCGACUGCGCUCGGAGAAGUCCCGAAUCUGCACCGUUGGACCCGGGUUCGAUUCCCGGCACCUCCACAA